UAACCCCUGUUUUCCCCAUAGGGUAGCCAGUGUGAUUGUAAAUUUUUCCCCUAUUGACGUGCAUUAAAAAUCGACUGUCAGUAUAAUAGGUCUAUAUGACAAAAAUCAUUAAUAAAAUCCGCUAAAAAAAAUGAAAUUUAAACGAGAUUCAUGCAGGUUUGCUUUUCCAUUGAAAUAACAAAGGUUUACAACUUUUAAAAUGGAUUGCUUAUCGAGCACGCUCAUAAUUUUUUUCCCAUAUUUUGAAUUAUGUUAUGAAAAUCGUUGCGCGGCAGCCCCAAUUCUAGGUGUCAAAUAAUGUUUACUGCAAAAUGGCGGAUGUUUAUAUUCAUUUCGUGAGUUUGUUCUUGUAUUUUGGAAUUAUUCUGAGUCAAAAUUAAUAGAAAUGAUUGUAAAUAUAUUGUGCGCGGUUGCAAAAGUGAGUGGCAGCCAGGAUGUGAUAUUAUAUUUCAUUCGUUUCCGUCCAAUCUAGCGGAACGUAAUACAUGGCUAAAUAGCUAAAUAUAGUAGAAUUAAAAAUAUCCUGUUUUGAAAAAGCGAAGAUAUUAUACAACAUUCAUUUUAAACCCGCACUUGGACAGUGCGGUGGAUGUGGCCUGUAACCUCAUAGGAGGCCAUGUCCCAGCAGUGGGAACGUAAUAUAUACGUUACGGGAAAUAAAAUGUAUGGGAGGGUUUAAAGUUACAUUUUUAGAUAUUUCUCGUUAUAUUAAAAAAAGUUAUUAUUGUUAUUUUACUCAUUACGUAAAGUUUCAUAUCAAUAUCAGUUUAAAGUUUUUUGAUACCUGCCAUAGUUACGGAAUAAUCACCUGUGUAAUCGUUAAGUGUGCACUUAACGAUUACACCCUGAAUAUAUUAUAUAUUUUGUUUUUUAUUGUAUGAUAGGGAAGCGCAAGACCACGAUCUCAUAUUUCAAGUACUCUUAAAAAACUAUUUAAAUACUAAAUGUAGGGUAUGGAAUAAUAAAAAUAUUUUCAGUGAACCGAUUUCAUUAUUUUUUUAUUGUUAUUGUAUCUUAUAAUUUGCAAAUUUGUAAAGGCAGUUGGCAUUGUAAUGAUAAAUAAAUAUUAUUAAAACACA